GUACUGGAUUCGUCGUCACUGUUGUGAUGUACGGUGAAGAGGUUGCAAAAGAAGGUCCUCCCAAGAAGGAUCUGUGCAAGAAUUAAUGGACUAUGUACAUUGGUACAAGCGCCCAUAUAAAGUUCAAUCCGAGGGUCCAUUUGAAGUGUCACCUCAGGGUUUGGGUGUGACUACAAAACAGCAUUUAAGUACAUCAAAAGACAUGGCCUAUGCCCAAAAACAAUUUACCCAUGGGUGGGGACCGUGCGAGGUUAUGUUCCUACAGAUCCUACACAACCUAUUAUGUGUGAUCGAAGAAAGGCCAGUGGGAUGGUGCUAUUGAAGUCAGGACACAUAAAGUACAAUAUCAUGAAAAAAUCAAGAUUACAAUUUUUGCAAAGGUGGAAAGUCUGAACAAUGUUGAAAAAUUGCUACGUGAGCAACCGGUAACCGGUGUGGUAAUAGCAACAUCAGAAUUAGCAGUGUGUGAGAAUGAGGAUAUGUUGAAAUAUGAUCGCCCAUCAGGGUGUUUGGGCUAUGAAAAGCAUUCCGUAACCCUUGUAGGUUAUGAACAUGACGGCAGCGACAAGUACUACAUUGUUCAGAAUUCAUACGGGCUCGAUUGGGGUUAUCGAGGGUAUUGCAAGAUCUGGAGUGACCUUGUUAAGGACUUUUAAGUUCCCGUACAUACUAAGAUAUAUUCAUUAUACACUAGUUAUUUGAUGCUUGUCACUAGAUAUAUUCAUUAUACACUAGUUAAAUGUUUAGCAAUUUAUAUAGAUAUUUAAAUUUGUGUUUUUACAAAUAUGUUUACUAGCUUGUUUUGUUUGCAAGUUAUAGUUUGUGAUAAGCCUU